rnacentral:piRNA from 1 species
GUGAUAACUCCAGCUGUG